UCGCGCGCUCUCCUCCUCUCGGCUCUCGACUCUCGGCGAUCUCGUCGUUCUGCGAAGGUCGGAACUGCUCUCCGACGAACACGAACGGGCACAGCUGCGAGGGUCCUUCCCUUCGAUUUUUAUUGCGGUGAUCUCAUUCCUUUCUUUUUUCUCUUGUUUCGUUUCGCUUGGUUCUUCAUCCGUCGAAAUUUUGAUUAGGGUUCAGAAUUUUUGUUGGUCUUGGGGUUCUUUUAAUCGAUUCUUGGUUGUCGACUUUCUUGUGGGAAGAUCGAUCUUUCUGGUUUUCUCGAUCGUUUUUCGUCACCUAGCCAGUCUCGUUCUGGUUUCGAUUGGAAAAUAUGUCUUCUUCGCGUUCUAGGCGUGUGGAGUACGACCGCUUCAUCCCGUUCCGGUCGGCGAUGGACAUGGACUACGCACGCUUUGCCCUAACCGGGCCUUCGAGACCGCAGCGUGAUGGUUCGAGGGAAUCCCCAUCGAGCGUGGCGUACCAAAAGCUUCUUGACGAGUGCAUUUUGAAGAACAGGUCUCGUAUCCUCGCUUUCAAGACUGCACCUGAAGCGUCGGCCAGCAAGCUGCCCGAGUUUGACGAGCCCAUUCGGCCGCAGAAGAAGCAGCAGAGGCGAAUCCCUAAAGAACCAGAGAGGGUUUUGGUAAUCCACGGCUUGUUGGAUGAUAAUGUUUUGAAUAUCCUCGACUGGGGAAGCAAUAAUGUGUUGGCGAUUGGCCUUGAGGACGCAGUGUAUCUCUGGGACGCUGCAAACGAGUCGACUAAGCUUCUACAACCCGUAGAAGACAGAGGACCUAUCACUUGCAUCCGCUGGUCGCCAGACUCUGCAGUUCUAGCUGUCGCAUUUGGCAAUUCAGAUUUAGCCCUAAUUGAUCCAGCAACAGGACAUAUCGUGGAUGGGAUGGAAGAUGAGAACCAGGCCCCUGUGUUGUCACUUGCGUGGAGAAGUAAUUCAAUCUUGACGGUCGGAAGAUUUGAUGGCACUGUUGUUGAUUAUGACUUUAGAAAGGAUGACAUGUUCAUCUGUUUCUAUAAUGGGCAUCGGCGUGGAGUUUGUAGUCUUAAAUGGUCCGUGUUGUCAGGGCGGUAUUUUGCGAGUGGAGGGCAGGACAAACUAGUGCACAUAUGGGAUGCUUGCAUGCCUGUCUCACGUGACCAUCCACGUCAACGUCAAUGGCUUCACAGGAUCAGCAGCCACACUUCCAUUGUGAAGGCCGUUGACUGGUGCCCAACUCGGAGCAACCUGCUGGCUUCUUGUGGAGGUUGCAAUGAUCAUUGCGUUAAGGUUUGGAACACCGUUAACGGUGCUUGCUUGAACUCGAUUGAUGCUGGCUCUGAAGUUUGUGCAUUGCUAUGGGACAAAAACAAAUCUGAAUUACUGACCUCCCAUGGUUCGCCGAACAAUCAACUCACCUUGUGGAAUUACCCAUCCAUGACGAGAGUGGCUGAGGUUUCCGGUCAUUCAUCCCGGGUUCUUUCCUUGGCUGGGAGUCCACUGGGAGGUGUAGUAGCUUCUGCAGCAACAGAUGAGACAGUCAAGUUUUGGAAUAUCUUUGAGACUCCCAAAAUAACAAAACCUGAACUGCCCUUUGCCCAAUUUAAUGUCAUCAUAAGAUGAAAAGGUGGAUAGGUGGAAAUGAUUAAGAUUCCAAAUGGAAGACUUCUCUAGUGCUUGGCAUGAAGAUCUGUUGUUGGUAACAUUGCGAUGGGAAGUUUCGUGGUGUCAAAGAGGCAGUACAUUUUCAUACAAGCGCAUGGAUUCGAGAUCUUCAAAUAUGAGCGCAACCGCCUAAGAUUUCUUAUGAUAUUCAAUAUGGCCUUGAUAUUACAUGAAGACAUCACAUUGCACACCUAGAAGAGUGUUUGACAAUCGAGAGAUCUAUGCAUUAUGAGAGAAAGCUCCAGAGCUUGAUCGAUACAAACAAGAAGCUGCAAUGAAGCUCAUGGCCAACGGUGCAUGCACCCUUUGCAACACGGGGAAGGGACAAAGAGACUUAGAGCAUUGAUGUUUCAUUUACUGGAAUUUGAGAAUCAGGCAAAAGCAGCAUGUGUAUUGAUUGAUUUAUGCUUUGGACCAUUAUCACCAUGGAUAUAUACAAUUACUGCAAAGGUUGAUCUUGCAAUUGAACUUCCGGAGGACCUCUUGGUGUUAUUCAAGUGUUUUCAUAAUUUGCUAGCCAUGCUUAUGUUGCUUUGAAGCAAGGUAUACAAUUUGAAUGGUACCGCUCGGUACGGACGGUAUGUACCAGUCCGACAGGUUAUCGGUAUGCGGAUUGUCCGUUACCGCCCGGCACAGCUCGGUAACGUGUACUCCUUUUUGUUUUGGGGCCACAUAUGCCAUUUCCUUCAGAUAUUGACCUUUGCAAAUGUUCAUUUCCUAAGGUGGCUGAUCAAGAGUCUUUAGCUGUUUCUUCUGACUUUGUGAUAUGUUCUCAUGGGGCUUCUAGCACAUCCAGUAAUCCGGAUGAAGCAAAGAGAAAGAUUGAUGCAUCUAAAGCUGCCACUAGAAAAGAUGUACUCCAAGAUGCUAAUCUGUAGUUUGCUCCUAGAGAUCUGUCAAAAAUUGUUCUGACAAGUGUUUCAAAUUAUUUUACUGGGGACUGGAUCAGAUUGAAUUUCGGUUGUGGUGUUUCAGAGGUGAAUAAGAUUUCAAAUAACAACUUUCAGAAUAUUGGUUUCUUUGCUGAUUACUUGUAUUCACAAGCAUAUUAUCUACAACUUGUAAACUAUCAAGAUUCGGUAUAUAGGGCUUCCCAAUUUGAACAUUUGACA